UGGUGUCUUGGGUCACAAUUGGGUGCUGAUUUUAAGUUGAAAACAAAAAACAGCAGACCCUGUAGCUCUCCAGGACCAGGGUUGGAGACCACUGAUAAGGUAUUCCCUCAAAUUACAUGAUUCCCUCAAACCAGGAAAAGCCAGAAAUGAGAGGUUUUACCAUUUCAUUGGAUGGAACUAAACUUUCUCUGACGCAUUCAGAUCUUUCAGCUGCGCAUCUGACGAGUGUUUAAACCAGAGGUGGGUAACCCGGCUUCAAAGAGUAAAAAGACUGACCAUGUAUUUGCUCCACCAACAUGCACUAAACCAGCUGCAGACAUUCCGUUUGACAGCCCAGAUGGUCUUGUGCUCGGAUAUUCCGCAAGCCCCAAAAAUACCCGAAGCACAACAGGGGCUUAACAGACCCUACUGCAGUCAACCGAAAAUUCAGUUUAUAAAAAAUCAAUCUGAAAUCACAAGUGUACCACAAAGAUCCCAGGUUUGGUAUACUUGUCCCUCAGCAGUACAACACUAAAAGCUUCACUCUUAAGUGUAAUAAGCUGUAGAUUAGUCACUCACAAACUGGGUACUUGAUUCAGCACAGCUAGCACAAAAUAAAAAACAGAUGAUUGCACAUAAUGCGUAAAUUGUUCAAUUUGAUUCACCGUUGUCUGAAUGAUCGUGUUAAAUUUUACCUCCAAUUUGGCACUGGAAUAUGAUUCCUAUCAA